rnacentral:tRNA from 1 species
GGGCCCGUGGUCUAGUGGAAUGACGUUUCCUUGACGUGGAAGAGGUCGCCAGUUCGAAUCUGGUCGGGCCCA